rnacentral:rRNA from 1 species
CCUACGGGUGGCUGCAGUGGGGAAUAUUGGACAAUGGGGGCAACCCUGAUCCAGCCAUGCCGCGUGUGUGAAGAAGGCCCUCGGGUUGUAAAGCACUUUUAGUGAGGAAGAACGCCUGGUGGUUAAUACCCAUCAGGAAAGACAUCACUCACAGAAGAAGCACCGGCUAACUCCGUGCCAGCAGCCGCGGUAAUACGGAGGGUGCGAGCGUUGAUCGGAAUUACUGGGCGUAAAGCGCGCGUAGGUGGCUUGAUAAGCCGGUUGUGAAAGCCCCGGGCUCAACCUGGGAACGGCAUCCGGAACUGUCAAGCUAGAGUGCAGGAGAGGAAGGUAGAAUUCCCGGUGUAGCGGUGAAAUGCGUAGAGAUCGGGAGGAAUACCAGUGGCGAAGGCGGCCUUCUGGACUGACACUGACACUGAGGUGCGAAAGCGUGGGUAGCAAACAGGAUUAGAUACCCUGGUAGUC